rnacentral:lncRNA from 1 species
CAGAGAAGGACUCUUCCUUCUCUUCUGCGCCCACAAUUUUAAGGGUCAUCUGAUGACACGGUGAAUUAAUAAACACGGAGAGAAUUAAAGGAAAGAAAUUAAGAGUCCACGUAGAAAUGAACUCUUCCAUUUCCAUCGCAUAAAAGUGGGCGUCCCAUAAUCUUUUUGGCCUGGAGUUCCUUCCUAGUGAAGAACUCCUUCUCCUCUUCCACGUCCCA